rnacentral:rRNA from 1 species
GACGAACGCUGGCGGCGUGCCUAACACAUGCAAGUCGAGCGGAGAUCAUAGCAAUGUGAUCUUAGCGGCGGACGGGUGAGUAACGCGUGGGCAACCUACCUCAAACUGGGGGAUAACACAGGGAAACUUGUGCUAAUACCGCAUAAUAUCAUGAGAAGACAUCUUUUUAUGAUCAAAGGAGCAAUCCGGUGAGAGAUGGGCCCGCGUCCAAUUAGCUAGUUGGUGAGGUAACGGCCCACCAAGGCGACGAUUGGUAGCCGAACUGAGAGGUUGAUCGGCCACAUUGGGACUGAGACACGGCCCAGACUCCUACGGGAGGCAGCAGUGGGGAAUAUUGCGCAAUGGAGGAAACCCUGACGCAGCAACGCCGCGUGAAGGAUGAAGGUUUUCGGAUUGUAAACUUCUUUGAUGAGGGACGAAUAAAUGACGGUACCUCAAAAACAAGCCACGGCUAACUACGUGCCAGCAGCCGCAGUAA